rnacentral:rRNA from 1 species
UACAGAGGGUGCGAGCGUUGUUCGGAAUUACUGGGCGUAAAGGGCGCGUAGGCGGGAUGGCAAGUCGGUCGUGAAAUCCCUCGGCUCAACCGAGGAACGUCGAUCGAUACUGCUGUUCUUGAGGAUUGCAGAGGAGACUGGAAUUCCCGGUGUAGCGGUGAAAUGUGUAGAGAUCGGGAGGAACACCGGUGGCGAAGGCGGGUCUCUGGGCAAUUCCUGACGCUGAGGCGCGAAAGCGUGGGGAGCAAACGGG